rnacentral:rRNA from 1 species
AGGCAGCAGUGAGGAAUAUUGGUCAAUGGACGCAAGUCUGAACCAGCCAUGCCGCGUGCAGGAAGACGGCUCUAUGAGUUGUAAACUGCUUUUGUAUUAGGGUAAACUCAGGUACGUGUACCUGACUGAAAGUAUAAUACGAAUAAGGAUCGGCUAACUCCGUGCCAGCAGCCGCGGUAAUGCGGAGGAUCCAAGCGUUAUCCGGAUUUAUUGGGUUUAAAGGGUGCGUAGGCGGUUUGAUAAGUUAGAGGUGAAAUACCGGGGCUUAACUCCGGAACUGCCUCUAAUACUGUUGAACUAGAGAGUAGUUGCGGUAGGCGGAAUGUAUGGUGUAGCGGUGAAAUGCUUAGAGAUCAUACAGAACACCGAUUGCGAAGGCAGCUUACCAAACUAUAUCUGACGUUGAGGCACGAAAGCGUGGGGAGCAAACAGGAUUAGAUACCCUGGUAGUCCACGCAGUAAACGAUGAUAACUCGUUGUCGGCGAUACACAGUCG